rnacentral:lncRNA from 1 species
CAAGAGAUUCAUAAACUUAUAAAAUGUUUUGUACAUUUUUAGAAAGAUAUUUGCAAGUAAAAAUUUGAUUUAUGCAGCUCUGUGGGCAGGACCUUUUACUCCUGACCAAUCAGUUCCCUCUGUUAAAACCACAACCGCCUAACCAUUGGCUGGAUUGUUCCAUCGAUCAAAUCUCAGGAAGUAGCUCCCCACAUGAGCAAGAGAGGAUAAGGUGGAGAGGGAGUAAGAUCACUAGAAAGCCGCAUGCUGCCAGACCACCAAAGGACCCUAGAGGUUGAAGAACAUCCCCAACACCCAGACUGACCUAAAGAACUUGGGAACCUCCCAGACACCAGGAGAAUCAUCUUGUUCUUGGUGUUUAUUCACAAGGUUUGUCAUGAUUUCCAGGAGCCUAGUGGAGUUGGAUACAACAUACUCCAAGGCAGGACAUUUCCCUGCAUCCAGGUUAAGAAAUGGUCAGAUACAGCAAAUGUCACUGCAAAAAAAAACAUUCUGCCAACACCUCCAAAGACAUUUGAUCAAGUUGGCAGUACAUUGCUAUUUCCUUUACAUACGGUCUUGGCCUAAUUCUAAUACUUCCAACGUACACAGCAAAUAAGGGCGUUAUUGUCACCAUAAAAGGUGACUGAUGGAGUCUUAAUGCCCUUUCCCACACACAGUUUUAC